rnacentral:lncRNA from 1 species
CCAAACUCUCCACUAAAUCACGGAGCCAAAAACUGCAUUUAUAAAAUACUUUUGUAAACCUAAUAUUAACUUCAAUCCCGUUGUGACAAACAACAUCUAACUGUUGCGACAACUUCAAGUUAACUCUAACUUGAAUACUCUGAGUACCUAUUACAAUUGCCUCUAGAUAAAGGUGAAAGGUACAAUAUGAAAACACCUACUACAAUUGAACUAGAAUAAAAGACAGACACUUGGAAUUGGCUCUUCUAUCUGGUUCAUGUAGCUUCAGGUUUGCACACUUGAAUCAUACACGAACUGCUUGCAAAAUGCCUUGCUAUUUUGCUCUCAAUUCAUGUUUAACUUCUGCGUUUGUGCAUACCUGUAAAAUGAAAACAUCUUGCAAUAUAUAGAGUUAGUAGAUUAAGAAAUAACUAGAGUUCUAAUGGUACUCUUCCUUGGUAGAAGAGUUCUAGUUUUUCUCAACUUCUAACUUCUCCCUUAUUUUGGAUAGUGUUCUCUUUGAUUAAGGAGUCCUUCUCCUUAUCACUUAUGCAACCUUUUCCAUCAGGAGAUAUCAAUUAUACCAAGUUAAGAUUAUCUCCUUCACGUGCAUCCCUCAUGCUAGAAUUUGCCCGUGUCUAUGCACACAAGGGAUGGACCUGGUUCAUGCAUGAACUUCUUUUGUCAAUCUUCAAAACAAACCUUCAAUUGGAUCAACAAACUUGAAUUACACUACUCAAGUUUCAUGUUAGUAAAUAAUUUAUUUUACAACAAGAUCCAAGGUAAUAUAUUACAAACACAUGGAUAACAUCUUAUUAACUUGAAUGUAAAGUCAAGCUUUAUAUCUUGUAAUUACACUACUAGAAAUUAGGUCACUGGUAACAUUUUUUUAGCAACAGUUAAAUAAUCGUUAUUGCAGCAGUUAUAACCGUUGCAUAAAAUUGUGGGUCCUAUUAAUACGCUUCUGCAAUUAAACCAUUGCAUUAGGGUGAAAACCGUAGCAACAUCGAUACCUAUUGCAACGGUUAUAAGAAUCGUUGCAAUAGGUGUCCAUGUAGCAACAGUUCUUUAGAAAAUAGCUCUACUGCAACGAUUUUAUUUCCCUCCUUAUUUUGCUUUACCAUUUUUUCUAUUGAACCUAAAAUUUGUUUCUUUUUAUCUAAUUUUAUUUUUAAAAAAAAUUCUAAUCUCUCUUAAUCUACAGAGAGACAAACUACAAGAAAAUCUAGAAUUGGCAAAAAUGUUUUGCCAACCCAAAUAUUAUUGCUAAAUCUAAAGAAAUGGCAACAACAUAAUUUAGUUGUUGCUCAAAAAAUUAUUGUUCUUGUGGAUGUCAAGAAGAAAUUAUCGAUUCAUAAUAAUUAGAGAGAUUCCUAAUUCAUUGCUUUAAAAGUUAAAAAUCUUUUAAAUUCUUGGAAAUUAUCCAUAUAUUGCUAAAGUCGAGAUUGCUAUUUCACUACCACACUGUAAUGAUGAAACUGAAAUCAAGAACUCUAGGAAAACAAUGGUAACAGUAGAAAUUAAGAAGAGAAACAAAAGAAAGACUAAGGUGGCCAUACCUUGACGAUUCCUAUUUUCCUACAUUAGGAGGGACAAGGGUUCGAUGGUUGGUUAGAGCAAGGAAGGAUUAGGGGAGAUGGUGUGGAUAGCUUUAGGGAGAGUGGGUUUGGUAGUGUGAUGGCCGAUGGGUCUUAAGGGAAUUGAGAGAUUUGGG